rnacentral:rRNA from 1 species
AUUGAACGCUGGCGACAUGCCUUACACAUGCAAGUCGAACGGCAGCACGGGUGCUUGCACCUGGUGGCGAGUGGCGAACGGGUGAGUAAUACAUCGGAACAUGUCCUGUAGUGGGGGAUAGCCCGGCGAAAGCCGGAUUAAUACCGCAUACGAUCUACGGAUGAAAGCGGGGGACCUUCGGGCCUCGCGCUAUAGGGUUGGCCGAUGGCUGAUUAGCUAGUUGGUGGGGUAAAGGCCUACCAAGGCGACGAUCAGUAGCUGGUCUGAGAGGACGACCAGCCACACUGGGACUGAGACACGGCCCAGACUCCUACGGGAGGCAGCAGUGGGGAAUUUUGGACAAUGGGCGAAAGCCUGAUCCAGCAAUGCCGCGUGUGUGAAGAAGGCCUUCGGGUUGUAAAGCACUUUUGUCCGGAAAGAAAUCCUUGGCCCUAAUACGGUCGGGGGAUGACGGUACCGGAAGAAUAAGCACCGGCUAACUACGU